UGUGCUGAUGUCAACAAAAUGGAAUGUAAACAAACCAGGCAGGCCAGCAGGCACUGCCAGUCACCAAUGAGUAAAUCAGCGCUCAGAGAAGGGAUAACGCUGCACCAGGAGGCAGGAAACCAACCGUUCCUGUCUAUAUCCCAGUUCAAGACAAACUUCUGGUCGUGAUUGGGGAUAACACCACCUCAAAUUCAGGUGUUGAGAAUGCCUGUGACUGAGAACAACCAACACCUGUUAUCAGUGUUCCUGUAGGUUGGUACAGCAAGCUAUGGCAGGAAAGCCAGAAUAUCGAACUGCUGCAGAGGGACAAUAACUUCCAGUGCACCCAUCCUCUGCAUCAUUGCAGGAUCUUGCCAAGAUGACAUUUGAGGAGUUCCAUCACCUGUCUGAGAAAGAGAAAAAUAGAUAGGGUUCAAUAUGUUGAUAUGCAAUACAAACUAGCUCAAA